rnacentral:rRNA from 1 species
GACGAACCGUGCGAACGUUGUUCGGAAUCACUGGGCUUAAAGGGCGCGUAGGCGGAUGACCAAGUCAAGGGUGAAAUCCUGCGGCUCAACCGUAGAAGAGCCCCUGAUACUGGUCGUCUCGAGGGAGGUAGGGGCGUGCGGAACUUCCGGUGGAGCGGUGAAAUGCGUAGAUAUCGGAAGGAACGCCGGUGGCGAAAGCGGCGCGCUGGACCUCUUCUGACGCUGAGGCGCGAAAGCCAGGGGAGCAAACGGG